rnacentral:rRNA from 1 species
AGAGUUUGAUCCUGGCUCAGGACGAACGCUGGCGGCGUGCCUAACACAUGCAAGUCGAGCGGGGAACCCCUUCGGGGGUUUUCAGCGGCGGACGGGUGAGUAACGCGUGNNCAAUAGCGGCGGACGGGUGAGUAACGCGUGAGCAACCUUUCCUUCACAGGGGGAUAACGCAGCGAAAGCUGUGCUAAUACCGCAUGAGACCACAGGAUCACAUGGUCCAGGGGUCAAAGGAGAAAUCCAGUGAAGGGUGGGCUCGCGUCUGAUUAGCUAGUUGGCGGGGUAAAGGCCCACCAAGGCAUCGAUCAGUAGCCGACCUGAGAGGGUGAUCGGCCACACUGGGACUGAGACACGGCCCAGACUCCUACGGGAGGCAGCAGUGGGGAAUAUUGGGCAAUGGGGGAAACCCUGACCCAGCAACGCCGCGUGAGGGAAGAAGGUCUUCGGAUCGUAAACCUCUGUCCUUAGUGAAGAGAAGAAGACGGUAGCUAAGGAGGAAGCCCCGGCUAACUACGUGCCAGCAGCCGCGGUAAUACGUAGGGGGCGAGCGUUGUCCGGAAUGAUUGGGCGUAAAGGGCGCGUAGGCGGCCUGUUAAGUCUGGAGUGAAAGUCCCGCUUUUAAGGUGGGAAUUGCUUUGGAAACUGGCGGGCUGGAGUGCAGGAGAGGUUAGUGGAAUUCCCGGUGUAGCGGUGAAAUGCGUAGAGAUCGGGAGGAACACCAGUGGCGAAGGCGACUAACUGGACUGUAACUGACGCUGAGGCGCGAAAGUGUGGGGAGCAAACAGGAUUAGAUACCCUGGUAGUCCACGCUGUAAACGAUGGAUACUAGGUGUGGGAGGUAUCGACCCCUUCCGUGCCGCAGUAAACGCAAUAAGUAUCCCGCCUGGGGAGUACGGCCGCAAGGUUGAAACUCAAAGGAAUUGACGGGGGCCCGCACAAGCAGCGGAGCAUGUGGUUUAAUUCGAAGCAACGCGAAGAACCUUACCAGGGCUUGACAUCCCGUGACAGCCAUGGAAACAGGGGAAGUUUACUUGCACACGGAGACAGGUGGUGCAUGGUUGUCGUCAGCUCGUGUCGUGAGAUGUUGGGUUAAGUCCCGCAACGAGCGCAACCCUUGUCCUUAGUUGCCAUCAUUCAGUUGGGCACUCUAAGGAGACUGCCGGUGUCAAACCGGAGGAAGGUGGGGAUGACGUCAAAUCAUCAUGCCCCUUAUGAUCUGGGCUACACACGUGCUACAAUGGCCGGUACAACGAGAAGCGAAACCGCGAGGUGAAGAAAACUUUUAAAGCCGGUCCCAGUUCGGAUUGCAGGCUGAAACUCGCCUGCAUGAAGUUGGAGUUGCUAGUAAUCGCGGAUCAGCAUGCCGUGGUGAAUGCGUUCCCGGGUCUUGUACACACCGCCCGUCACACCAUGGAAGUUGGGGGCGCCCGAAGUUGGCCAGUUAAUAGGUUACCUAAGGCGAAAUCAAUGACUGGGGUGAAGUCGUAACAAGGUAACC